rnacentral:pre_miRNA from 1 species
UGUUAAAAUUUUGAUCCAUUUGUACUAUUAAAAACUGUCGUGGCUGACGAAAUAACCAUACAGUGACAUGUAGCGUGUCAUGUAUAUCUCAUGCUAAUGUACAGGGAUCAAAUUUUAACCGUAGAAAUGGAUUAAAUUCAUAGAA